GGGUCAUGGGUAAUGAAGAAGACCCAUGGCCUAGGUUGAGGACCUCCAUUGCACUUUGGAGGGACGCCCACCUAAGGUCGGCCCAAGUGGCUGAGAUACCCA
rnacentral:snRNA from 14 species